rnacentral:rRNA from 1 species
AGUGAACGCUGGCGGUAGGCCUAACACAUGCAAGUCGAACGGCAGCACAGGAGAGCUUGCUCUCUGGGUGGCGAGUGGCGGACGGGUGAGGAAUACAUCGGAAUCUACUCUGUCGUGGGGGAUAACGUAGGGAAACUUACGCUAAUACCGCAUACGACCUACGGGUGAAAGCAGGGGACCUUCGGGCCUUGCGCGAUUGAAUGAGCCGAUGUCGGAUUAGCUAGUUGGCGGGGUAAAGGCCCACCAAGGCGACGAUCCGUAGCUGGUCUGAGAGGAUGAUCAGCCACACUGGAACUGAGACACGGUCCAGGCUCCUACGGGAGGCAGCAGUGGGGAAUAUUGGACAAUGGGCGCAAGCCUGAUCCAGCCAUACCGCGUGGGUGAAGAAGGCCUUCGGGCUGUAAAGCCCUUUUGUUGGGAAAGAAAUCCAGCUGGCUAAUACCCGGUUGGGAUGACGGUACCCAAAGAAUAAGCACCGGCUAACUUCGUGCCAGCAGCCGCGGUAA